UAAGAAUGCAAAGAUUUCUUUUAGAAAAAUAUUGACUAAAUUUUGAUAUAAUUUGUUGUUGCAGUUCGAAAUGUCUUAAGUUUCUUUCAGUAAAGUUGAGAGCAAUACGCCAUUUUUUCUCCCAUUUCUUCGAGGGCCUAUGUUUUUGUCACAGAGGGCAGAUGGCCUAGGCAAAUGACAUGUGAAGACAAUAUUGGACAGUCCUCAGACCCGAAACAUGUGUCUUCGCCAAAAGCCUCUGUAGACCAGUCGUCUAGUAAAGAAUGGUGCAGCCGCCACAUCUCUAGUUUCAGUAGCAGAUAACAUCCUACGGCCUGAUACCACCACCACAGCAUUAUAAGUCUAAACUAGUUAACUACUUUAAAAUGAUCGAUUUUUUACCAAAGUGCUCGUAUAUGUAUUUGAACCCAUGUCGAAUUUAUUUUCGAGUGUCGAAUUUGUUUUCGAGUGUCGAAUACAAAUAUGGUCUGUCUGCAAAUUUUUCGGAAGCAGAGGUUGCGAAAAGAUAUUUUACAUUUUCAAUACGCUUUAUCCAUUGAUCUAUUAAAGUAUAUGUUCCAAAUUUUAGUGAAAAAUAUCCUUAGCAGAAGUGUUAUAUGCAUGUUCUGAACCAAUUAAUGCAAGAAAUUGUUUUAUAUUGGCUGCUCCUUCAUUAAAGACAUUUUUUUAAAACA